rnacentral:rRNA from 1 species
GAUGAACGCUAGCGGCAGGCCUAACACAUGCAAGUCGAGGGGCAUCGCGGUGCAGCAAUGCACUGGCGGCGACCGGCGUACGGGUGCGUAACGCGUAUGCAACCUGCCCCGCACCGGGGGAUAGCCCGCCGAAAGGCGGAUUAAUACCCCAUGGUCCCGGGGGCCCGCAUGGGCAUCCGGGUAAAGCCUUGGCGGUGCGGGAUGGGCAUGCGUGCCAUUAGCUGGCUGGUGGGGUAACGGCCCACCAGGGCAACGAUGGCUAGGGGGUCUGAGAGGAUGGUCCCCCACACUGGUACUGAGACACGGACCAGACUCCUACGGGAGGCAGCAGUGGGGAAUUUUGGACAAUGGGGGCAACCCUGAUCCAGCCAUGCCGCGUGCGGGAAGAAGGCCUUCGGGUUGUAAACCGCUUUUAGUCGGGAAGAAAAGGCGCGGCCUAAUACGUCGCGUUCUUGACGGUACCGGCGGAAUAAGCACCGGCUAACUACGUG